AACAAACGCUGGCGGCGUGCCUAAUACAUGCAAGUCGAACGGGGAAAGCUUUCGGGUGAGUACUAGUGGCGCACGGGUGAGGAACGCGUGGAUAAUCUGCCUUAGAGUGGGGGAUAACUAGUCGAAAGAUUAGCUAACACCGCAUAAGACCACAGGAGCUGCGGCUCAAGGGGUCAAAGGUUUUUCGCUCUAAGAUGAGUCCGCGUAAGAUUAGCUAGUUGGUGAGGUAACGGCUCACCAAGGCGACGAUCUUUAACUGGUCUGAGAGGAUGAUCAGUCACACUGGAACUGAGACACGGUCCAGACUCCUACGGGAGGCAGCAGUAGGGAAUAUUGCACAAUGGAGGAAACUCUGAUGUAGCGACGCCGCGUGAGUGAUGAAGGCCUUCGGGUCGUAAAGCUCUGUCGCAGGGGAAUAACACAAUGAAUGUACCCUGUAAGAAAGGAUCGGCUAACUUCGUGCCAGCCGCCGCAGUAAAAC
rnacentral:rRNA from 1 species